rnacentral:rRNA from 1 species
GAUGAACGCUGGCGGCGUGCCUAAUACAUGCAAGUCGAGCGAACAGACGAGGAGCUUGCUCCUCUGACGUUAGCGGCGGACGGGUGAGUAACGCGUGGAUAACCUACCUAUAAGACUGGGAUAACUUCGGGAAACCGGAGCUAAUACCGGAUCAUAUAUUGAACCGCAUGGUUCAAUAGUGAAAGACGGUUUUGCUGUCACUUAUAGAUGGAUCCGCGUCGCAUUAGCUAGUUGGUAAGGUAACGGCUUACCAAGGCGACGAUGCGUAGCCGACCUGAGAGGGUGAUCGGCCACACUGGAACUGAGACACGGUCCAGACUCCUACGGGAGGCAGCAGUAGGGAAUCUUCCGCAAUGGGCGAAAGCCUGACGGAGCAACGCCGCGUGAGUGAUGAAGGUCUUCGGAUCGUAAAACUCUGUUAUUAGGGAAGAACAAAUGUGUAAGUAACUAUGCACGUCUUGACGGUACCUAAUCAGAAAGCCACGGCUAACUACGUG